UACAGAGGGGGCAAGCGUUGUUCGGAAUUACUGGGCGUAAAGGGCGCGUAGGCGGCCUGCUAAGUCGAACGUGAAAUCCCCGAGCUCAACUCGGGAACUGCGUCCGAUACUGGCAGGCUUGAAUCCGGGAGAGGGAUGCGGAAUUCCAGGUGUAGCGGUGAAAUGCGUAGAUAUCUGGAGGAACACCGGUGGCGAAGGCGGCAUCCUGGACCGGCAUUGACGCUGAGGCGCGAAGGCCAGGGGAGCAAACGGG
rnacentral:rRNA from 1 species